rnacentral:lncRNA from 1 species
AUGACAUCAGACUGGGCUUGUGCCUGAUAAUUCAUUUCUGAAGUGCUUCAAGAUUGACGCAUCAGAUUUGCACAAUGUGCCACUUUAGGAGAUUAUUUCUUCCUUCCUUCAGCCAGACAGAAGACUGCAGUAGGGAUAUGGUUCCUGUUUGCCUAUUUCCAUCCACAACUCUGCCAGAGACGAAAGCAGUGUUUGAAACAAUUCACCAAGAUUUCCAUCUGGAAUCAUCAAGAAUGGAAUUGAUCAAAUUCCUUAAGAAAUUUACUUAAAGUCAUGAUUUUGACAGCCUAGUGCUACCUGGAAAAGGGACAGCAGCAGCCUGGAGCAGUUUUCUAGCUAACAAGAAUUUUGUUAGCUAUGUGGCCACCUAGUGGCUCUUCCAUGGAUGUCGCUGAUGCAUUGUCAGGGCAAUAACAGAGAAAUAGAGGCCACCAUCUGUGUGAAUACUUCACUGUGAUUAUCUCUCACCAUCAUCAAAUAGUUCAGAGCACUGAUCCUCACGAGUUGGACAUUUCCCCAUGAAACAGUAGCCUUCUGAGUUCUUGCAAGGAAAUCCAUUGACCCUGAACUGGUCCUUAGGACAGGCAGGCGAGUGGCCAGUGCACAUCUCAGGAAAAUCACAUUCAUCUUUCGCCGGUCUGCAUAUGGACCCUGCUUUUUUUAUCUGUUGAGGAAAAACAAAGAGACUAAAUCCUGGAUACAUUUAGGGUCAUACUGCUUCCCUGUACUGAAGUGUGAUGUGAGACUAUUCAACUGCUGAAGAUCUGAUUUUACCUUUUGCUCAAGCUGUCCAUUAUUUCAGGCUGACUUUUAUUUUUUAAUGUAUCAUUAAAUAACAUCAAAAUGGUAACUUAUGCCCUAUUUUCUCAAACAAAAUAAAAACUCAAAGAAAAUGGAGUGUG